rnacentral:rRNA from 1 species
AGUGAACGCUGGCGGUAGGCCUAACACAUGCAAGUCGAACGGCAGCACAGUAAGAGCUUGCUCUUACGGGUGGCGAGUGGCGGACGGGUGAGGAAUACAUCGGAAUCUACUUUUUCGUGGGGGAUAACGUAGGGAAACUUACGCUAAUACCGCAUACGACCUACGGGUGAAAGCAGGGGAUCUUCGGACCUUGCGCGAUUGAAUGAGCCGAUGUCGGAUUAGCUAGUUGGCGGGGUAAAGGCCCACCAAGGCGACGAUCCGUAGCUGGUCUGAGAGGAUGAUCAGCCACACUGGAGCUGGGACACGGUCCAGACUCCUACGGGAGGCAGCAGUGGGGAAUAUUGGACAAUGGGCGCAAGCCUGAUCCAGCCAUACCGCGUGGGUGAAGAAGGCCUUCGGGUUGUAAAGCCCUUUUGUUGGGAAAGAAAAGCAGCAGGUUAAUACCCCGCUGUUCUGACGGUACCCAAAGAAUAAGCACCGGCUAACUUCGU